UGACUUUACCAGGGGAUAAGAACCGGGUAAAAAGAGGGAAAGAUGGAGCAAAGCAGCUCCCCUUGAAGUCCAGCACUACGGACGCCAGCCAAGGAUUAGAAGAUAAAGAGCAAAAUAUAACAAGAAGAAUUAGUGCCUCAGAUAUUCUAUCUGAAAAGAAACUUGGUGAAGAAGAGGAGGAACUGUCUGAGCUUCAGCUUCGCCUUUUGGCUCUGCAGUCAGCUAGUAAGAAAUGGCAGCAGAAGGAGCAACAGGUGAUGAAGGAGAGCAAAGAAAAGCUGACCAAGACCAAAACCACGCAGCAAAAGGCAAAAGCCAGCACAAAAGCACACUCGACCAAGAAAGUGAGCACCACAGCUAAACAAGCAUUACGGAAGCAGCAGACAAAGGCAUGGAAGAAACUCCAGCAGCAAAAAGAGCAGGAGAGACAGAAAGAAGAGGACCAGCGGAAACAUGCUGAGGAAGAAGAGAGGAGGAAAAGAGAAGAAGAAAUCAGAAAAAUCAGAGACCUUUCAAAUCAGGAAGAACAGUACAAUCGAUUCAUGAAAUUGGUUGGUGGGAAGA
rnacentral:lncRNA from 1 species